rnacentral:snRNA from 1 species
GUGCUUACUUCAGCAGCACUGGUACUCCAUUUGGAAUGAUGCAGAAAUGAGUGGUGCAGCCCUUGUGCAAGGAUGACAUGCAGAUCUUUCAAGAAUCCUAUUAAAUAAAU